AGUGUAAAGUAAUAUAUAUUACGGUGCAGUGUACACUGUAAAGAUAAUACAUUACUGUAGAGUGUACACUGUAAAGGUAUAAUAUAUUACUCUACUGUGUACACUGAAGGUAAAAUACGUUCCUGUACGGUGUGAAGGUAAAAUACGUUCCUGUACGGUGUGAAGGUAACAUACGUUCCUGUACGGUGUGAAGGUAACAUACGUUCCUGUACGGUGUGAAGGUAAAAUACGUUCCUGUACGGUGUGAAGGUAACAUACGUUCCUGUACGGUGUGAAGGUAACAUAC